CUGACGGGCACAGUGUGAUGACUGCAACGCCUCGGAAGGACAAAACGAAUUAUUUUGUAACAGAGCCGCGCUGACACUGAGUAGUGGGAGGACUGCGCAGAGGAGCGGCCUCGUCACACACACAAACAGGCUCGUUCUCCAUCACAAAGUUCAUCAUGCGCACCACGCAGCCGGAGCGGGCGGCGGCACAGGAGCCCACUGCCCCAGGUGCCCACCCACGUCUGCGGACGCCCGCGCUGAGCCAGGGGUUUUAUGAAAUGAAGCGCAGAGCAGACGACAGCCCUGUUUGCGUGAACCCUCUUGUUCUGCUGCUGAAAUCAGAGCGACGGUCUGAGGAAUCCUCUGCACGGGGAAGCGCUUUUCUUAAGGUGACACUCAUGUCAGUGAUGCCCUGCAGCACAGUGACAGGCUCUGACAGCUCCCUCGCUCGCUGUGCACAGAGUGCACAUAUACAGUAUGAUUCACACACACCCAGCAAAGAGGUGGAGCUGUGGCCCAGCAGUUGGUUAAGGUGCUCAUGA
rnacentral:lncRNA from 1 species